rnacentral:rRNA from 1 species
GCUCAGGAUGAACGCUGGCGGCGUGCUUAACACAUGCAAGUCGAACGAAAAGAGGGAAAGAGCUUGCUCUUUCCGGAAUUGAGUGGCAAACGGGUGAGUAACACGUAAACAACCUGCCUUCAGGAUGGGGACAACAGACGGAAACGACUGCUAAUACCGAAUAAGUUCCAAGGGCCGCAUGGCCCAUGGAAGAAAAGGUGGCCUCUACCUGUAAGCUAUCGCCUGAAGAGGGGUUUGCGUCCGAUUAGCUGGUUGGAGGGGUAACGGCCCACCAAGGCGACGAUCAGUAGCCGGUCUGAGAGGAUGAACGGCCACACUGGAACUGAGACACGGUCCAGACUCCUACGGGAGGCAGCAGUA